UUUUCAUCUUAUAAAAUGUUCAAAAUUUCUUUCAUUAUUUUCUAUGAAAAAUAAAAUUAUUUUCAAAAUUCAAAAAUCUUUAACUCUAUCAAUUUUAAAUAUAUAUCUAUGGUCAAUUGGUUACUUUAUUAGGUCAAUUAUCUAUUUAUUGUAUAAAUAUAUUUAUUAAUUUCAAUUCAUUAUUAUUUAUUAAUAUCAUUUAUUUUAAAUAUCUAGAUGAAAGUGCUAUUAAUUGUAACAUGUUUACUACUAUAGAAGAAGAUGAAGAAAAUACACUAUUGUGAGUAUAGAUAUAAAAUAAAUAAUUACAAAUUAUACCUUAUUAUACUUAACUGAUUUUGAAUUCCAGUAACAUAGUUAAGUAUGCUACAUUUGUAAUAAAGCUUGAUAAUAUAUAAUUUUGUUGAAAUGAUAAGUUUUUCUAAAUAUUUCCAUCAACAUAAGAAUCAGUAGAUAUAUUAUUUACCAUACAAAUUAUUUAUUCAGUAGUAUUCUCCAUGACUAAGUAAUGGAUUUUUUUUUUUACAGAUCAAAAAAACAAAUAAAACAAUUAAAAAAGAUAAAGAAAAUAUCUGAUAAGGUAAAUAGAUUAAUUAAUACUCCUUAAUUAUUUUUAGUCUUUGAAUUUUUUUUUUUAACAAAUUCAUAAUUUUAUAUUUUUCACUAUAAAAUAUUUUUUUUAAGUUGUAUUAUUAUUAUUAAUAUUACUUGUUACAUGGAUUAUAUCUAUUGUUUUACCUAAUAGUGAUGAUAGUUUAGUUCAUUUUUAUUUAAAGUUCAUUAGUUUACAGUCCAUUGAGUGAAUAGUUCAAAUAAACUAUUCUUAAUUUUACAUAGUUGACUGAUUCAUAUGGGAUUGUUUGGCAAUGAACUAUUCGGUUGAUUACUACUAGUAUUCUUUUUAAUAAUGAGGUCUAUGGUUAGGACAAAUUCACAUGGUUUAGAUAUUAGAUAUUUAUUAUUAUUAUAAUAAUAUGAUACAACUAUGAACAGAUCGCAAUGAUAAUCAAUACCUUUACAUUAUCAAUAUUCACAUUAUCAAUAUUAGGUAGGCACCUAGUCCUAGUUCAGUAAUGUUAAAACUAUGAAUUAUAGCAAAGGUAGGGUAAAUUAUUUUGUCUAUAUGGUACUUUAGGUAGAUAAUUUUCCCAGCAUUUUUUUCAUAACAUUUGGGAAACCUGUGAUAAAACAGACCCCGGGGGGGGGGGGGAAGGGGAGAAGUGAAUUUACGAAAAUAAUGCUUUUGUUGUUAUUUAGUAAAAAAUAUCAGUUGCAACUUAAAAUUUGGACAAACAACUUUUAUUUGCUUUUCUAGACAUGAAAAAAUUUUCAAAACAUUUGAGCCUAUUUUAAGUUUUUUAAAAAAAAUUGUAUUUAAUUUUUUAUUAGAAUUAAGUUAGAAACAUUCUUAUGGACUUUAUGAACUUAAAAUUUGGAUACAGAACUUAUAUUUGCUUUUUCUAGACGUGGUAAAAUUUUCAAAAAAUUUAACCCAUUCUUGAGGUAUUUACAUUUAAACUUUACAAGUUGUAUAUGCCAUUUUUAUUAAAAUUGUUAGACUACACAGAAAUGCUUGAAAAUUUAACAGGAGAUUCAUUUGAAGUUGUACUUUGUGGGAGAAAAAAAAAUAUAAUGUAGUAUUUUUUUUAUAAAUAAAUCUUAUUAUCAAAUUUUGAUGAAAAUUGUCUGAACUCGAUUUUAAGAGUAUUUGCAAAAACCACUGCUGACACCCAACCACUCAAAAAUAGAUUAACACGCCCUCAACCACUUAUGAUCACUGUAUGACUUACGGACAUUUAUUAAAUUAAAAAAAAAUUAUUUUCAUUUAAUUACAAACUAACUUAAGUUUUCUAAACAAUUUCCUAUAAUUAUGUGUAAUAUUUGUUAGAUAGGUAGGUAGGUAAUAACACAUUAUUGUAAAAAAAUUAAUUUUAUAUGUACAUACUAGUCACUAUUCAUAAAAUAUACCAUGGUAGGUAAAUAAUUUCAAUUAUAACCAAACUGUGAGUCUAAAUCUUUAAUAACAUAUUCUAAUAUUAAACAAUUUAACAACAACAGUUUUGCUAAAUCUGUACUAAAUGAAGCUAUAUGUUUUAUAUGGAUUAACAUGGAUAUCAUUUUUACAAGGCAUGAUCAUUAGUACUUCAAAGUCUUGGUUACACCAAAUUUAGUUUUCAAAAGACCCUUUCAAAAAAAGCACUUGAUAUUAGAAGUGUGAGUGUAGUAUAUACAGCAGGAAAUGUAUCUUUCAAACCAGUCAUAUUGCACACUUUGUACAUCAUUUGAUUAGUAUCUUCAGCUCUAUAAAUUUCCUCUUCAUUGUCCAAAUUUUAUCUGAAACAUUUUGUUGCUCAUUAUUGGUAUCACUUUCUUCAAAAAAAGCACUUGCAAAAUAGUUGUUUUUAUGUAAAGUUUUCAGUAAUUCCCUUUUUUUUUUCUUUUUUUUUUAAGCCUAAGUAUGCAUUUGCAAAUUGAAUAUAUUCUUUUCUCAAAUCUUCUGCAAAUACACACUUCCCAUACAUUUGUCGAAACUCGUUAUAUGCAACUUUAGGUAAGUCGGACUUUGUUGAUACACUUAAAAGAUGUUUCUUUUUGAAAAGUGCUAAAUCAUUCAAUAGUGGAUUUGAACUUUCAUUAAAUCUUUCCAGUAUUUGAAUGUAAACAAUAUCAUUUACAAUAAUAUUUAUUUAUUUUAAAUUUUCAACUGUACAACAUUUAGUCGUUUGAUGAUAUCAUUUUUUUUUCUUUCUCAUGUGAGUCUGUAGAGUCUGUUAUCGUCCACCUACCAUGUUGUUGCCAGUCCAUAUUAUCUUAGUUCAUGCUGACCACACAGCUGUUAAACAAGAAACACACAUACAUAUUAUAAAAUAUUUAAACAAUUUUUAUUUUGUUUCUAGGUGGAAUCCCAAGACAUAGCAUAGCCACUUAACAAAACAACACUACAAACAACAUAUGAACCUUACAAUAACCAGUUAUUAAAAAAUACCUAUAAGUGUAAUAUUUGUACUAAGUCAUUUAUUUUUAAAUCAAAGUUAGAUCAACACAAUGGAAUUCAUAGGGAGGAAAAGUCAUACCCUUGUAAUGUUUAUGGGAAACGUUUGCCUUCAAAUCCAAUUUUGUUGUUCAUUAUAGAAUCCAUACUGAGAAAAAAUCGUUCAACUAACUGCACUCUAUGUAAUGCGUCAUUUAAAAAUAAUUCUGAUCUGCUACAUCACGCACGAAAAAUACACAACAGUUCUUUUAAAGUUCAUUGUAUCCGGCAACCAGUGAGUAAGUAUUGUGAAAACAGAUCUUUCACUGCUGUCGGUCAUAAGCUGGGGGGAAAAAAGUUCAUUAUGUCUAACAUUUUAACCAAUUAUUUUAAAAAAUUAUUCGAAGAAAAACUAAUCAGUGAUUCUUUACUUUAUUACCUGUUAAAUCUAUACAUAUAAAAUCCAUAAAAUACCACUGACUGACUGAUCGCUGUAUCUCAAAAACUACGUAACGUACGGACUUGAAAUUUGGAAUAUAGGUUCUUCUCAUGUUUUCACCGUGCAACAAGGAGGAAUUUUCAAAAAUGUUGCGUUUUAGUGGAGUAAUUAACAAUUAUAAUUAUUCACAGCCAAUACGUAUUGUGCGGCACGGCGGCCCGCGGGUCUCCAGCUACCUGCAACCUAUCCUUUUUGUUCGUCGUCGUCGUCAUCGUGUAGAUAAGAAUAAUGAUUCCGAGAGUAAAAUUGUUCCGAGAAGUUUAUCGAUAAAAAUACUCUUAUGCAUCGCGCGUACACCAACAGUCCUAUUUCAUUAUAAUGAACGAUAAAAUGCACACCGAUAACAUAAACCAAUACACAUACAAAUUCUAUUUAUAGAAUUAAUUUGGACUUGCGUAACAUAUAAAAUAUUAAACACGUUCAUUUCAUUUGCACUCCGCACUACCAGCAGUUCGGACUUGCGUAAAACUGAAAUAAAGCAAAAGAGGAAAUCUUUGUUACGGUUUGGCUUCGAAACUUUUUAUCCAAUUGUCAUGCAGUUUUAAUUAAGUUAGUUAAUCGCUAAUUAUGUAUAUUAUCGACAAUAAUGAUACAUGGCGUUAUCUAAUUUGUCACGAAUUAGUUUUCGGGCAACGCCGGG